UGUUUGUUUUUAUGCGCUGAAACCUUGUCGCAUAUACAUACAUAUGAAAGAGUCUAGCUUGACCCUGCCCGAGAUUUGAAACCAAAUCCACCGGCUUGCUGCUUGUCAAAACGAGUGGGAAAUCCUCCACACUAGAUGAUUGAUGAGGAAACACUCUACCCCCUAGGACCUGUACUACUCAAGGAAAGGUCAGUCCUUUGUUUAAGGUUUGACCUCCAUUACUGA